UACAGAGGUGGCAAGCGUUGUUCGGAAUUACUGGGCGUAAAGGGCGCGUAGGCGGUUCGUUAAGUCCUGUGUGAAAUCCCCCGGCUCAACUGGGGAACUGCACAGGAAACUAGCGGGCUUGAGUUCGGGAGAGGGAAGCGGAAUUCCGGGUGUAGCGGUGAAAUGCGUAGAUAUCUGGAGGAACACCGGUGGCGAAGGCGGCAUCCUGGACCAACACUGACGCUGAGUGAGCGAAAGCCAGGGGAGCAAAGCGGG
rnacentral:rRNA from 1 species